AUAGAAAAACACAACAAAAAAAACUUUGCAGAGAAGAGAAUGAAAUUCAAAAUACUUAUAAACUUAUUUAUUCUAUAAGUAAAGUUAGUAACUUUGUCGAGAAGAGACAUAAGCAAAAGUGAAAAAUAUUGUAAAUUAUAAACUCAAAGUUGAAAGAGUGGAAACAAAACGAAAAAAAAUAUAAAGCAAAAAUUAAAAAUAACACACUUGCAUAAAUGCGCCUUUUGUAUUUGCACAAAAUUUUGCAAAAAAACAUUCGACCAUCAAUAGAAAUACAACGCAGUACUGUAGAGUAACAGUAGCUUUACACAAAUCUGUAGUUGAAGAGAGCACCAAAUGCAGAUCACUUAACUUUUGCAUAAAACUGUAAAAUAGCUUGAUUUCAAGUGCAGUACUGUUGACUUUACAUAAAACUGUAAAAUAGCAUAAUUUUAACUUCAGUACUGUUAACAGCACAUUAAUCUGUAGAAUAAAAGAUUUUCAAAUGCAGUACUGUUAAGAUUACAUAAAAUUGUGGGUUAACUGGGCUUCAAAUACAGUGUUGUUAACCUAAUUCCAACCUACGCAACAUCACUUUAACAGCUUAAACGCAAGCAUAGAACAUGUCUCGGGAAUAUUAAAUACUAGAAAGUAUUGAUUUUGUAUUUAUAAAUAUAAUCUUACUUUUUUUUAAUUUUUUUAACCGAAAAUCACCAAGCAUAACUUUGAGUUUUUACUUUACAUGUGUUUGUUAGUAUACACAAGUGUAUAUGUAGGUAUAAAAUGCGUGAAGAAAUGUUAAACUAUUAUUGUAGUAAGUGCUUUCCGAUAAGUAUUUAUCUAGAAAAAAUGUUAUUUUUAUAAAUUAAAAACAAAAAAAUAAAAACAAAUUCAACUAAAUAUUCCUUUAUACAUUUUGCAAUUUGUGAAAGGCACACAAAAAUCCAGUUAAACACAAAAAACACGUAUGAAAUUUUUCUAAACAACAACAAAAAUACAUACAAAUACUUUCACACAAAUAUUUUACUCAGUGCAGGUACUUUCAGAAUGAACUGCUAAGACAGAUGGAGCACUUUUAAGAGUUUCUAAAUUUUUUAUAAAAAAAUACAUUUAUAUAUUAAAUAUAAAUAUAUGCUAGAAUAGUUUACAAAAGCUAGACUAUAUUUACUAUAUUUAUAACAAAUUUAUAAAAAGAAAACUGUGAAAAAAAAAUUUCAAAAUAUUUUAAAAUCAAAAAAAGAUGGCAUCAAGUUAUGGUAAUGAAACGUACACAUACAUAGCGACUUACAUAUGUAUACACACGCGCAUCUAUAGAUUAUGUAUGUGAAUGUUGAAGAAAUUUGUUAGCAAAUAUUUAUUGAAAUUAUUGUGAUAAAGUAGUUGAACGAGCAAGCAAGCAUAAAUAUGUAGUAGAAAGUAUGUUGUAAAAAACGGCGAAUACGAUCGAGACGAACCACAGCAACAAUAACGCCGACCAAACGCACAAGCAACUGGCGUAAGCUGGCCAUUGCAGCACUACAGUGCGAGACCGAGUGGCGAAACCACAAACAGGAGCGCGUUUUGUGGCUACAAUAAUACAGAUCGCACCGAAAAACAACAACACACACACAUUUGACAAAUAUUUGUCUGUGUAUGUUUGGCUGCGCUGCAUGGCUUUGAAUUUAAAUUACUUGCGCAUCAACACAUUACAGCUACAAACACACACAUGUACCAGUGCAAUAACAACAAUAAUGAACUUUUGAUUUUUUGGCAAGAUUGCUUCGGUUCACAAUUCUUCGCCGCCUGCGUCGAGGCUCUACAACUGCACGAAGAGAUGGACAAAUACAAUGAAUG
rnacentral:misc_RNA from 1 species